AUUGAACGCUGGCGGCAUGCCUUGCACAUGCAAGUCGAACGGUAACGGGCCUUCGGGUGCCGACGAGUGGCGAACGGGUGAGUAAUACAUCGGAACGUGCCCGAUCGUGGGGGAUAACGAGGCGAAAGCUUUGCUAAUACCGCAUACGAUCUACGGAUGAAAGCAGGGGACCGCAAGGCCUUGCGCGGACGGAGCGGCCGAUGGCAGAUUAGGUAGUUGGUGGGAGAAAAGCUUACCAAGCCGACGAUCUGUAGCUGGUCUGAGAGGAUGAUCAGCCACACUGGGACUGAGACACGGCCCAGACUCCUACGGGAGGCAGCAGUGGGGAAUUUUGGACAAUGGGCGCAAGCCUGAUCCAGCCAUGCCGCGUGCAGGAUGAAGGCCUUCGGGUUGUAAACUGCUUUUGUACGGAACGAAAAGCCUUCUUUUAAUACAGGAGGGUCAUGACGGUACCGUAAGAAUAAGCACCGGCUAACUACGUG
rnacentral:rRNA from 1 species